rnacentral:rRNA from 1 species
UCCUGGCUCAGGAUGAACGCUAGCGACAGGCUUAACACAUGCAAGUCGAGGGGCAGCAUAAAAGUAGCAAUACUUGGUGGCGACCGGCGCACGGGUGAGUAACGCGUAUGCAACCUACCUAUCAGAGGGGAAUAACCCGGCGAAAGUCGGACUAAUACCGCAUAAAACAGGGACACCGCAUGGUGAUAUUUGUUAAAGAAAUUCGCUGAUAGAUGGGCAUGCGUUCCAUUAGGUAGUUGGUGAGGUAACGGCUCACCAAGCCGACGAUGGAUAGGGGAACUGAGAGGUUGGUCCCCCACACUGGUACUGAGACACGGACCAGACUCCUACGGGAGGCAGCAGUGAGGAAUAUUGGUCAAUGGGCGAGAGCCUGAACCAGCCAAGUCGCGUGAAGGAAGAAGGAUCUAUGGUUCGUAAACUUCUUUUGCAGGGGAAUAAAGUGCAGGACGUGUCCUGUUUUGUAUGUACCCUGAGAAUAAGGAUCGGCUAACUCCGUGCCAGCCGCCGC